GAUGAACGCUAGCUACAGGCUUAACACAUGCAAGUCGAGGGGUAACGAGAGGAAAGCUUGCUUUCCUUGUCGACGACCGGCGCACGGGUGAGUAACGCGUAUCCAACCUGCCCCCAACUAGGGAAUAACCUUGCGAAAGUAAGACUAAUACCCUAUAAUUUCCUCAGAUGUCAUCUGACGAGGAAUAAAGAUUUAUCGGUUGUGGAUGGGGAUGCGUCUGAUUAGCUUGUUGGCGGGGUAACGGCCCACCAAGGCAACGAUCAGUAGGGGUUUUGAGAGGAAGGUCCCCCACAGUGGAACUAAGACACGGUCCAAACUCCUACGGGAGGCAGCAGUGAGGAAUAUUGGUCAAUGGGCGGAAGCCUGAACCAGCCAAGUAGCGUGCAGGAUGACGGCCCUAUGGGUUGUAAACUGCUUUUAUACAGGAAUAAAGUUAGCCACGUGUGGUUAUUUGUAGGUACUGUAUGAAUAAGGACCGGCUAAUUCCGUGCCAGCCGCCGCCGUAA
rnacentral:rRNA from 1 species